CCUACGUGAGUCAGCAGUGGGGAAUAUUGGGCAAUGGGCGCAAGCCUGACCCAGCAACGCCGCGUGAAGGAAGAAGGCUUUCGGGUUGUAAACUUCUUUUCUGAGGGACGAAGAAAGUGACGGUACCCCAGGAAUAAGCCACGGCUAAAUACGUGCAAGCAGCCGCGGUAAUACGUAGGAGGCAAGCGUGAUCCGGAUUUAUUGGGUGUAAAGGGCGUGUAGGCGGGGAAGCAAGUCAGAUGUGAAAACUCAGGGCUCAACCCUGAGCCUGCAUUUGAAACUGUUUAGCUAGAGUGCUGGAGAGGCAAGCGGAAUUCCGUGUGUAGCGGUGAAAUGCGUAGAUAUACGGAGGAACACCAGUGGCGAAGGCGGAUUGCUGGACAGUAACUGACGCUGAGGCGCGAAAGCGUGGGGAGCAAACAGGAUUAGAUACCCGGGUAGUC
rnacentral:rRNA from 1 species